rnacentral:lncRNA from 1 species
UCUAACUUGGAUUAAUAUUAUGGAAAAACUUCAAAAACCCCCUCCCAGUGGUUUUGUAGUUUCUCACUUUGCCCCCAUGUGGUUUAAAAUGUAUUAAUUUGCCUCCAUGUGGUUUCUUUUUUCUCUUUUUCUUAUCAAUUUUAUUAUUAUUUUUUCUUAAAUCAGUGAUAAAGUUAAAAUUAAAGAGUACUAAAGUGAAUAUUUGAUAAAUCUAGAUAGGUAUCUAAAGUUUUUUGUAUAUAAUUUAAUGAAAUAUUAACGAAAAAGCUACCGAAAAUAUAAAAAUGAAACCACAUGGAGGCAAUUUGAUAUAUUUUAAACCACAGGGAGGCAAAGUGAGAAACUACAAAACCACAAGGAGGGGUUUUUGAAGUUUUUCCAUAUUAUUCUAUCAACCAUCCAUUAAAUUCUAAAGGAACAGACAACCUCUAAACCUCUAAACCUCUAAACCGUGGAGAGACCACCACUAAACCGUAGAGAUCACUAUCAUUUCAAUUCUAUAAUUUUUCAUUCAAAAAUUAUAAAUUAAUAAUAAAAAGAUCUAAAUAUUAUUAAUAAUAUUUCAGCACAAAUAGUUACAAAAUAAAAAAUUAUAAUUUAAAAAUUAUGUAAAUAUA